GACGAACGCUGGCGGCGUGCCUAACACAUGCAAGUCGAGCGAAGUUAUUCCUUCGGGGAUAACUUAGCGGCGGACGGGUGAGUAACACGUGGGUAACCUGCCUUAUAGAGGGGGAUAGCCUUCCGAAAGGAAGAUUAAUACCGCAUAACAUCAGAUUCUCGCAUGGGGAUUUGAUCAAAGGAGCAAUCCGCUAUAAGAUGGACCCGCGGCGCAUUAGCUAGUUGGUGAGGUAACGGCUCACCAAGGCGACGAUGCGUAGCCGACCUGAGAGGGUGAUCGGCCACAUUGGGACUGAGACACGGCCCAGACUCCUACGGGAGGCAGCAGUGGGGAAUAUUGCACAAUGGGGGAAACCCUGAUGCAGCAACGCCGCGUGAGUGAUGAAGGCCUUCGGGUUGUAAAGCUCUGUCUUUGGGGACGAUAAUGACGGUACCCAAGGAGGAAGCCACGGCUAACUACGUGCCAGCCGCCGCAGUAA
rnacentral:rRNA from 1 species